UUCGAGGAAAGCCUGGACUACAAAGUGAGCUCAAGGUGUACUCAGGCUGGCCUCAAACUCGAAGUAAUUCUCCCUCAGCCUAGUGGGAUGACAGCUACUGCACCAGCCUCCAGAGUGCUGAAAUUACAGGUGUGGGCCACCACGGCCAGCUAAGAGAGCUUUCUUAAACCGGGUUCCCUCCAGCUCCCGGCCGCCGUCCCAAGCAAGGCACCGGCCAGCCCCAAAGAGUCCCUGGAUAACCAUCAUCCUCCGCAUUUACCGAAGAGGUGGAAAGAUCAAGUAAGAGCGCAUCCCCGCAAGGACAUGCGCCAGCCACUGGCCAAGACGUGUUAGGCUGAGGUCCCCGGACUUGAA